UUUCCUCGAAAACCACGCAAUGCUUUCACGUCAAAAUUCGUCACUACGUUCAGCAAGCAAGACUGACCAACCCCGGGAAAUUUCGUGUAAUGACGUGACACCGUUCAAAUGUUAUCCCGCAAACCUCUUUUUGAGAGCUGUAAGUAAAAUCCUUCCUGCGGUAGUUUUUUUGUGAUAAAUAGUUGUAUUUUUUGUUUCAUGCUAUAAUAAUAUGACUAUACAACAGAUGAAUUAGUACUUAAACCUGUGAUAAAGUGUGCAGUGUCAGAGUUCUGAAGUUUAGAGGUAAAAAAGAUUUAAGCGUCAGUAGUCGCUGUCGGGAUGAUUGAAACACUUGUUUCAAUCGUCCCGCACAUCACCAUGCGUAAUUGCGCGCACAUUGCACGAUCAAUACCUGUAUAAAUUACAGAAUUAAUAAAUGUUUUGCAAUGAUUAACUACUGCUUUGAAUUAAUAACAUAUUUUGAAUGAACAAAACGUGUUUAUCACUUGCAUCAACAGUUUACUGAGAGAAAAAUGCCACACGUCAGAAGGAGAACCACCUCCCGUGGGCUAGUUCCUGCAUGGAACAACAUCAUGUCGCGUUGUCACGCUACCUCAAGGGGAGGGCAGAGGAGGGCAGUGAAGCCAUUUAUUUUGGGCUCACCCCUAAUGAGCUGCCCAUUCCCUGCAUCCUGGUCGAGGAAGGACUGGAUCACCUCCUUCAUGGAGCGCAGUAGCAGCCUCCCCCUUCGGCGUCCAGAGGCCACUAGCCAACAACGGUUGUCCAGCUUCAAUCAAAACAAUGUCAACUUGUUCUACCAAAAUUGAAAGACGGUGCUGGACCGGCACCAGUUCCAGGCCAAGGAUAUUUGGAACAUUAAUGAAACCGGGGUCACCACUGUCCAGGUGCCAGACCGUGUCGUCGCCCAGAUGGGGCAGAAGCAGGUCGGGUCAGUGACCUCAGCGGAGAGGUCCUUGAAUGCAAUGCGCAGGGCGACCUUGUUCCGCCAUUCUUUAUCUUCCCCCGUAAGCGGUUCGAAGACCACUUCCUGAGGGGUGGACCCGUUGGCUGUGCUGGCACCGCCAACCCAACUGGCUGGAGGAAGGAGCCAGACUUCCUCCUGUACCUGGCCCACUUCACCAGUCAAACCCGUGUCCAAGGAGUCGAAGCUGCUCCGCCUGCUGGACAAUCACCCGUCCCACCUGUCAAUUGCAGCAAUCGAUUACUGCAGAGCCAACGGCAUAGUGCUGCUGUCA